GGGGAAUAUUGCACAAUGGGCGAAAGCCUGAUGCAGCGACGCCGCGUGGGGGAUGAAGGCCUUCGGGUUGUAAACCCCUUUCAGCAGGGAAGAAGCGAAAGUGACGGUACCUGCAGAAGAAGCGCCGGCUAACUACGUGCCAGCAGCCGCGGUAAUACGUAGGGCGCAAGCGUUGUCCGGAAUUAUUGGGCGUAAAGAGCUCGUAGGCGGUUUGUCGCGUCUGCUGUGAAAACCCGAGGCUCAACCUCGGGCCUGCAGUGGGUACGGGCAGACUAGAGUGCGGUAGGGGAGACUGGAAUUCCUGGUGUAGCGGUGGAAUGCGCAGAUAUCAGGAGGAACACCGAUGGCGAAGGCAGGUCUCUGGGCCGCAACUGACGCUGAGGAGCGAAAGCAUGGGGAGCGAAC
rnacentral:rRNA from 1 species